AAGAUACUAGUAAAAGGAUAUUACACUGCCUUGUCAAGGCAGAAUCGCAGGUUAAAGCCCUGCGUAUCUUA
rnacentral:tRNA from 1 species